rnacentral:piRNA from 1 species
UACGUUGUUAUAAUAACUGCUUUAUUGC